AGUAUUUACAACUGAAUCCAACCUUAUGUAAUUAUGCAUUCUUCGACCUAAUAUGUUCAUACCUUUAGUUUCUCUCUCUCUCUAGAAGCGCAGUCAUCGGAGACUAACCUCAUCACACUAGUAGAAAAAAAAAAAAAGGCACCGCUCAAUGGCCACCGAUUUUCGAAAACCGGUGGCGUAAAAAUUGGGCAGGAUUAUAUAUAUUUAAAUUGCCACCGGUGCAAUCCGAACCGAUGGCAUAAAUGGUAAAGGCCACCGGUUUUGAACCGGUGGUUUUGUUAAAAAAAAACGUGCCUCAUCUCUACUUCUCUCUUCUCGUACUCUCUCCUUUGUUUUCUCUCUCUUCUUGAUUUCUCCGUCUCCUCUCUCUUCUCUCUGCUCAAACCCUCCUUUCUCUCUCUUCACUUGCCUCCUCUUGCUCCAUCUACCGCCGCCCCAUCUACCGCCACUCCACUCUUUCUUUCUUUCACUUCUCUCUUGGCACCACUACUAGGGAAAUUUAGUAUUUGAGGAUGACGGCGGUGGUGAAUGUUGUCGCCACCAUCGUAAUUGACGAUCUUUUUAUUUACCAGUGCCAGAUCUUUGCAGAUGUGGUGGAAUUCUUCACAAAGUUGGGGUUAUGUUGUGAUGAGGUUGAUGAACAUGUUGUUCUCUUCACGGCGCCAAGGUGAUUAUGGUGACGGUGGUCGCGAUCCGCCAGCCCACUCCAUCUCUCUAUCUCUUCUUGAGUCCUCUGCUUAAAUCCGAGAAUAAGAAAACGGAGGGAAAGAUGAAAGUGUGUCUCAACCGAGUUUCACUGAGUUCAAAUUGGACGAGAUAAGAGCUGCUGCUUCUGGGUUUUCUUAUUAAUUACUGUUCAUAUAUUUAAGGGUGCUGCUUCUGUGUUGCUGCUGUAUCUGUGCUACCAUGUUGUUGUUGCUUCUGUCUUGUGCUUGUAAUGUAUCAAUAAUUCUUUUCCAACAGCAUCUAUAGAGUUUCUAAUUUUGCUAUGGCCAUGUGAUCAGAUAUUUCCUUGUUUAUUGUGAUUGAAGGUUGGUAGUAUAAUAACUAUGUGCACAGUCAACACGUUAUGCUGUAUCGAUGUCUCUGAUCUCUCUGUCACAUUCCUCUUUGCCUUGUCAUACUAGGUAAUGACAAGGCAAAACAUGGUUUUUAUCUUCUAAUAGGCAUAAUGGAAGUGAGUGACUCUAGGUUUCAUGGUGUAGAACUUGUUAUCACACAUAAUUUGUAGUUUUUUGAAGUUAUCCAAAGUUGCUUUCUUUGGAGUUUGCCAAGGAAAUAGCUAAAUAUAUGGCCAAAAACAUAUUCGAAUGCA